CCAUAUUAUGUUGAAACACUGGUUCCUGUAUGACCACUGAAGUUAAGCAAUGAUGAGUCUGGUCAGUAAGUAGAUGGGUGAUCACUUGGUAAUACCAGGUGCUGUAAG